GCCCGCCUUGGCAGCCCAUAUACUAAAAUUGGAACGAUAUAGAGAACAUUAACAUGACCCCUGUGCAAAGAUGACACACAGAUUCCUGAAGCAUUUUAUAUUAAA
ensembl:snRNA U6 U6 spliceosomal RNA